GCUCUCUCCUGUUCUCUGCGCUGCCGGUGUGUGGAGAUGGCGGCGGUCGAGCUCGGUGGAAGAGCUGCGCGAUAUCGGCGCCAUCCUGCAGUAGGUCUGCCGAGGUUGCUCCCCGGCGGCCGUCCUCCUGGGAUGGUAAGUGUGCGGCUCGUCUCGCCUUCAUUAAUCCAUCUGAUCUUGUGUGGUCUCCUCCAUGAUGACUUUCUCACCACUGACUCAUCUUGUGAUGUCAUCACCGCAGCGUUCUGAUGGACCAUCCCACCCUCCGAAGGCCGGCUGACCGCCUUUCACCUGAGGCUAAUCUAUUCUCUUCUUCCAGUAGCUGCGCAGGAUGGCGCUGUGAUGUAUCCAAGCUCCAGGUUCAUCCUGACUAACCCAGAGCUACAGAGAUAGAGGUAUGGGGCCUGCUAUACCUCUGCGCUGGUCACCAGCUUGCUAACGCUUGGCGGCACCUUGCCCUGAGUCUGGAAUGGAGUGGAUAAUGUCACUGAAUUGCCUGAUGCUUGCACCGGUUCAGUGUGGUCCCCAGGACUGCAGAGGCCGAGCGAGUCUCCGUACUGGAUGUGCGGUCUGCCAUCAGUGAAGCCCAGGAGCCUAGAUGCACUGCAUGGAGAAUUACAGAGGACCUGUUACCACAAAAUGUGAUCUGAAGGCACCUGGUUAGAGCAGGAGGAGCGGACUGAUAUGUAUUGUGGAAAGAUGCAGUAAAACCUGUCAUUUCUAUCUGCAGCCCUGUGAAUACCCCUCCAGUACAGGGGAGGUGGUGUGAUCAGUGCCUGACGGAUAUCUGCACACUAAUGGCUGUAUGAGACCAGGUCGUCCCUAAUGAGUGUUUGUAGGAAUGCUCGUUAGCAUUUAUCAGGCUGUGUAAGGGCACCUUCACAUGUGACAUUUUGCGGCAGAAAAUUCCACUACUGAAAAGCGGUUCUGUUCGCCUUAACCACCUCCCGACCACCUAACGCGGGGAUGCAUCCUGCGGGGGGCCGGGUUAUUCCUCCUGGACGCAUAUACACGAGAUGGCGUGCAUAUGUGGCCCGCACAUGCGCAGUGUGGGUUGGCAAAAGGUGCACAAGGAGUUGGUCACCAGCCUGCAAGCCAAUGAUCAGCGCUGGCAGGUUCACUUUUAAAAUAACAAACCACCAGCCAUAUAACACAUUUAUAAAUAUAAUAUGUUAAAUGGCUUCUGUGCUCUCUGCUGGGUCCUUUUCAUCGGUUGGUCCCAGCAGAGGGCACAGAUCACGGAGUACACCAAGCACUACAUAUUUAGCCUCUGAUCUCCCCUGUCAAUCACUAGUGAAAGAGGGGAAAAAGUGAUCAGUGUAAAUUGGCACUUUUUUUUCCACCAGUAUUGACUGUUAGGUUUAGGAUAGUUUAGGCCCCUUUCGUAGGUAGUUGGUUUCAGUUAGCGCCCAGUCCACCGCAGUCGCUGAUUAGCGUAUCGCUAAUCAGCAUUGGUACUUUAUAGUAUCUGAGUGAUCAGUCAGAUCUAUAAUAGUAUUAGUGUCACCUUAGCUCGCCCUCUGCCCAAAACGCAUUGUUUGCCCAAUCAGGCCUGAUCGCCCACACGUGUGUUCACCCAUGCCCGCCCUGCCGCAUUGACAACAUUUUUUUUCUCACUUUACACGCACUGCGGUGAUAAAAAAAAUCAGUUUAGAUAUUUUUAUCAACUGCAGCGGCCUCCGGUACUUCACUAGCCUCCCAUUUGGAAGACAGGCUUGCU